rnacentral:rRNA from 1 species
CAGUAGCCGCGGUAAUACAGAGGAUGCAAGCGUUAUCCGGAAUGAUUGGGCGUAAAGGGCUCGCAGGCGGUUUCUUAAGUCUGAUGUGAAAGCCCCCGGCUCAACCGGGGAGGGUCAUUGGAAACUGGGAAACUUGAGUGCAGAAGAGGAGAGUGGAAUUCCACGUGUAGCGGUGAAAUGCGUAGAGAUGUGGAGGAACACCAGUGGCGAAGGCGACUCUCUGGUCUGUAACUGACGCUGAGGAGCGAAAGCGUGGGGAGCGAACAGGAUUAGAUACCCCAGUAGUCCCUGUCUCUUAUAC